rnacentral:rRNA from 1 species
GGGUCAGCGACUUAUAUUCUGUAGCAAGGUUAACCGAAUAGGGGAGCCGAAGGGAAACCGAGUCUUAACUGGGCGUUAAGUUGCAGGGUAUAGACCCGAAACCCGGUGAUCUAGCCAUGGGCAGGUUGAAGGUUGGGUAACACUAACUGGAGGACCGAACCGACUAAUGUUGAAAAAUUAGCGGAUGACUUGUGGCUGGGGGUGAAAGGCCAAUCAAACCGGGAGAUAGCUGGUUCUCCCCGAAAGCUAUUUAGGUAGCGCCUCGUGAAUUCAUCUCCGGGGGUAGAGCACUGUUUCGGCAAGGGGGUCAUCCCGACUUACCAACCCGAUGCAAACUGCGAAUACCGGAGAAUGUUAUCACGGGAGACACACGGCGGGUGCUAACGUCCGUCGUGAAGAGGGAAACAACCCAGACCGCCAGCUAAGGUCCCAAAGUCAUGGUUAAGUGGGAAACGAUGUGGGAAGGCCCAGACAGCCAGGAUGUUGGCUUAGAAGCAGCCAUCAUUUAAAGAAAGCGUAAUAGCUCACUGGUCGAGUCGGCCUGCGCGGAAGAUGUAACGGGGCUAAACCAUGCACCGAAGCUGCGGCAGCGACGCUGAUGCGUUGUUGGGUAGGGGAGCGUUCUGUAAGCCUGUGAAGGUGUGCUGUGAGGUAUGCUGGAGGUAUCAGAAGUGCGAAUGCUGACAUAAGUAACGAUAAAGCGGGUGAAAAGCCCGCUCGCCGGAAGACCAAGGGUUCCUGUCCAACGUUAAUCGGGGCAGGGUGAGUCGACCCCUAAGGCGAGGCCGAAAGGCGUAGUCGAUGGGAAACAGGUUAAUAUUCCUGUACUUGGUGUUACUGCGAAGGGGGGACGGAGAAGGCUAUGUUGGCCGGGCGACGGUUGUCCCGGUUUAAGCGUGUAGGCUGGUUUUCCAGGCAAAUCCGGAAAACUAAGGCUGAGGCGUGAUGACGAGGCACUACGGUGCUGAAGCAACAAAUGCCCUGCUUCCAGGAAAAGCCUCUAAGCAUCAGGUAACAUCAAAUCGUACCCCAAACCGACACAGGUGGUCAGGUAGAGAAUACCAAGGCGCUUGAGAGAACUCGGGUGAAGGAACUAGGCAAAAUGGUGCCGUAACUUCGGGAGAAGGCACGCUGAUAUGUAGGUGAAGUCCCUCGCGGAUGGAGCUGAAAUCAGUCGAAGAUACCAGCUGGCUGCAACUGUUUAUUAAAAACACAGCACUGUGCAAACACGAAAGUGGACGUAUACGGUGUGACGCCUGCCCGGUGCCGGAAGGUUAAUUGAUGGGGUCAGCGCAAGCGAAGCUCUUGAUCGAAGCCCCGGUAAACGGCGGCCGUAACUAUAACGGUCCUAAGGUAGCGAAAUUCCUUGUCGGGUAAGUUCCGACCUGCACGAAUGGCGUAAUGAUGGCCAGGCUGUCUCCACCCGAGACUCAGUGAAAUUGAACUCGCUGUGAAGAUGCAGUGUACCCGCGGCAAGACGGAAAGACCCCGUGAACCUUUACUAUAGCUUGACACUGAACAUUGAGCCUUGAUGUGUAGGAUAGGUGGGAGGCUUUGAAGUGUGGACGCCAGUCUGCAUGGAGCCGACCUUGAAAUACCACCCUUUAAUGUUUGAUGUUCUAACGUUGACCCGUAAUCCGGGUUGCGGACAGUGUCUGGUGGGUAGUUUGACUGGGGCGGUCUCCUCCUAAAGAGUAACGGAGGAGCACGAAGGUUGGCUAAUCCUGGUCGGACAUCAGGAGGUUAGUGCAAUGGCAUAAGCCAGCUUGACUGCGAGCGUGACGGCGCGAGCAGGUGCGAAAGCAGGUCAUAGUGAUCCGGUGGUUCUGAAUGGAAGGGCCAUCGCUCAACGGAUAAAAGGUACUCCGGGGAUAACAGGCUGAUACCGCCCAAGAGUUCAUAUCGACGGCGGUGUUUGGCACCUCGAUGUCGGCUCAUCACAUCCUGGGGCUGAAGUAGGUCCCAAGGGUAUGGCUGUUCGCCAUUUAAAGUGGUACGCGAGCUGGGUUUAGAACGUCGUGAGACAGUUCGGUCCCUAUCUGCCGUGGGCGCUGGAGAACUGAGGGGGGCUGCUCCUAGUACGAGAGGACCGGAGUGGACGCAUCACUGGUGUUCGGGUUGUCAUGCCAAUGGCACUGCCCGGUAGCUAAAUGCGGAAGAGAUAAGUGCUGAAAGCAUCUAAGCACGAAACUUGCCCCGAGAUGAGUUCUCCCUGACUCCUUGAGAGUCCUGAAGGAACGUUGAAGACGACGACGUUGAUAGGCCGGGUGUGUAAGCGCAGCGAUGCGUUGAGCUAACCGGUACUAAUGAACCGUGAGGCUUAACCUUACAACGCCGAAGGUGUUU